GACGUAGGAGGCGAGCGUUAUCCGGAUUUACUGGGCGUAAAGGGCAAGUAGGCGGCAGCACAAGUUGUGCGUGAAAUCUCCCGGCUCAACUGGGAGGGUGCGUGCAAAACUAGGCUGCUAGAGGGCAGAAGAGGGGAGCAGAAUUCCUGGUGUAGCGGUGGAAUGCUCAGAUACCAGGAGGAAUACCAGUGGCGAAAGCGGCUCUCUGGUCUGAACCUGACGCUGAGAGGCGAAAGCUAGGGGAGCGAACGGGCUUAGAUACCCCGGUAGUCCUAGCUGUAAACGGUGGAUACUGGGUAAUGGGAGGUAUAAACUCUCAGUGCCGAAGCAAACGCGUUAAGUAUCCCGCCUGGGGACUACGGCCGCAAGGUUA
rnacentral:rRNA from 1 species